rnacentral:rRNA from 1 species
AACGAACGCUGGCGGCAUGCCUAACACAUGCAAGUCGAACGAGACCUUCGGGUCUAGUGGCGCACGGGUGCGCAACGCGUGGGAACCUGCCUUUAGGUUCGGAAUAACUCAGAGAAAUUUGAGCUAAUACCGGAUGAUGUCUUCGGACCAAAGAUUUAUCGCCUUUAGAUGGGCCCGCGUUGGAUUAGCUAGUUGGUGGGGUAAAGGCCUACCAAGGCGACGAUCCAUAGCUGGUCUGAGAGGAUGAUCAGCCACACUGGGACUGAGACACGGCCCAGACUCCUACGGGAGGCAGCAGUGGGGAAUAUUGGACAAUGGGCGAAAGCCUGAUCCAGCAAUGCCGCGUGAGUGAUGAAGGCCUUAGGGUUGUAAAGCUCUUUUACCCGAGAUGAUAAUGACAGUAUCGGGAGAAUAAGCUCCGGCUAACUCCGUG